UCCGGGUGGAGGGCCGGCUUCUGUUUCUUUUGUUUUAUAACCUCGCUGUAGUUUGACCCAGGCGCUGAACGUCUGUCUCUCCGGGGAGCACGAGCCUAUAACUUUGGCCCACACAAACCAAUUUGUCUGCCACAGGAAGCACUCAUUUCGCUCUCCUUGUGUAGAAGAGAGACAGCCUGACAAGGUGGGGCUGCGUCCCGGAUGGUCCUUGCCCUUCCCACCUGCUGACUCAAGAGUAUUUGCAUAGCUGGGAUUCUGAGGAAACACCCGAGUCCACCCAAGUCCACCGGCACAGACAUUCUGGGUAAUCUAUGCAAAGAUUCUGACGACUAUUGAGCAAAGGUGGAGCCUAGUGAGAGAACAUUAGAAAAACCUGGCUUCCAAGUGGAACCAAGAUUCUCAACUGCAAAGGCCCACAAGAGUCCACUGUCAUCAGUGACAGGGGAGCAGAGCAUGGUGUAUGUAUACCAGAAUUGAAAUAUCAGUCUUAUCAAUAGUAAACAUGGACCAGCAGACAUCUUCCUGACUUCUUCCCCUUUUCUUCCUCACAGUUGUUUUGAUCCACCCA